rnacentral:rRNA from 1 species
CCUACGGGAGGCAGCAGUGGGGAAUAUUGCACAAUGGGGGAAACCCUGAUGCAGCGACGCCGCGUGAGGGAAGAAGGUUUUCGGAUUGUAAACCUCUGUCUUUGGUGACGAAAGAUGACGGUAGCCAAAGAGGAAGCUACGGCUAACUACGUGCCAGCAGCCGCGGUAAUACGUAGGUGGCAAGCGUUGUCCGGAUUUACUGGGUGUAACGGGCGUGUAGCCGGGUUGACAAGUCAGAUGUGAAAUCCUGCGGCUUAACCGCAGAACUGCAUUUGAAACUGGUGAUCUUGAGUACUGGUGAGGCAGACGGAAUUCGUGGUGUAGUGGUGAAAUGCGUAGAUAUUAGGAGGAACACCAGUGGCGAAGGCAGUCUGCUGGACAGCAACUGACGGUGAUGCGCGAAAGCGUGGGGAGCAAACAGGAUUAGAUACCCCAGUAGUC